AGAGUUUGAUCCUGGCUCAGGAUGAACGCUAGCUACAGGCUUAACACAUGCAAGUCGAGGGGCAGCAUGUUGGUUGCCUGCAACCAACGAUGGCGACCGGCGCACGGGUGAGUAACGCGUAUCCAACCUACCCUUGUCCAUCGGAUAACCCGUCGAAAGGCGGCCUAACACGAUAUGCGGUUCACAGCAGGCAUCUAACGUGAACGAAAUGUAAAGGAGAAGGAUGGGGAUGCGUCUGAUUAGCUUGGUUGGCGGGGUAACGGCCACCAAGGCUACGAUCAGUAGGGGUUCUGAGAGGAAGGUCCCCCACAUUGGAACUGAGACACGGUCCAAACUCCGUACGGGAGGCA
rnacentral:rRNA from 1 species